GUCAAACUUUCUAACUUAGCAAUUGAAUACGAAUCAACACCUCCUUUAGUAUGCAAUGUCAUGCAAAAAAAAUCAAAACAAAACACAGGUUAGUAUCAAAUAAUGGCGAUAAAAUGCAAGUAUAUAAACGAUAAUUACAACGCAUAUACGGGUAAGUACUAAGGCUUGACGCGGCUCCACUCGAGGAUAGCUCCUAAGGUUCACUAUAUGUGAUUCGGUUCUAGAGAUAAGGUACCCGAACCAGCAGAUCCCUCAAUCCUCACCCAUUAUAGCCUCAUAUAGAUCGAAUUCGGUUCAGGGGGAUACAUUUUCCUAUAACCAUGCGGAGAUGAAAAUCACACGAAAUCAUAGGUACGGAUGUACCCCGGAAGCAAUCCACUAGCCCAUGCGGAAGUGAAAAGCUCACGAAAGCGUAGUUUCUUACUCCCACUUAGAAGCUGUGACCACAGCGGUCAUGCAAUGAAAUGCAGUAUUAUUCUACGAGAUUCGAACCAUAACAACCAUACAAACAAAUGCGAUCAUGAUUUUCAAAACAAGUUUUUGAUUUUUGACAAAAGGACAGCAAAUAAUCAAUUUUAUGGCUAGACUCUCUUAACCGGUCCCCAGUGGAGUCGCCAAACUAUCGAAACCAUCUUUUUAUUUAAAAUUUUAAGUUCAAUAAAAAAUGGAGAAUCGACUAUUUGAAAAUAAAAACAUGGAGUCGCCACCGAUCUUUUUGUUUUGGUGUGAUCGACUCACCUAAGAAUUUGGCUAUUAAAACAUUUCUGGUUUAUUAAAACAAUGAUUUUGGUCUAUGAACUUUUGAGAAAACAGGUUCGGGAGUCGAUUACGUAUGAGGAAGGAUUAGCACCCUCACUACGCUCAAAAUUGGUACCAAAUCGAUUAAAUACUGUCCUUACGUCUAAGAUUUAAAAAUGUUUUUGAAAUGUGGUUCCCUUUUGAUAAUAUUUGAAUAACCCGAGUUGGUUAUCAAAAUUAUCUUGCUUAAGAGGCAUAUAACACCACAUCUAGCACGAUAGGACACGAUCUUUCAUGCCCUCGAAAGCAUGACAAAUUUUGACUUCCAAAAAUUUAUACGUUGAAAACCGUAAAAGGAUGCCCAAUUAUUUAGUCCAACGAGAAGAUCGAAACCCAGCACAGUAGGGUACGACUCCUCGAAUUUCUAGAUAUCAGACAUUGCCUUAUUUUAGAAUUUAAAAAGUAUGAGUGAAAUUCUAAAGGAAUCUUCGAUCAUUUUGGACAAACAGAAAAUUGCAACCCAACACAUUAGGGUACGAUUACCCGAAUUGCCAAACUUCGAAUAUUACCUUCAUUUUGAAGAGUUUUUAGAAAACGUAAAUGAAAUUCUAAAGGGACAUUCGAUUAUUUUGAGCAAACGAGAAAUUGCAACCCAGCAUGUUAGGGCACAAUUCCGCGAAUUGUCAAAUAUCGAACAUCGCCCUCGUUUUAAAGGAUUUUUAGGAGACAUGAGUGAAAAUUUGAAGGAAUAUUCGAUUAUUUUGAGCAAACGAGAAAUUGCAACUCAGCACGUUAGGGCAAGAUUCCGCGAAUUGUCAAAUAUCGAACAUCACCUUCGUUUUAAAGAAUUUUUAAACGAAUAAUUAUAAAAAUAGCUUAAAACAUAUUAAUGCGACUCGAAAUAAAACGAAAUUAAUCAUAAAAAUUUAGAUUUUAUAAAACCACAUUUCAUAAACCAAGUGGAAAACGAUGAUAUGGGGUAAUAUGUAUAUGCAUAAAAUACGACAAUGGAAGAGUGGGGGGUAAUACAAUUUAUUUAACCAACUAACAAACACUUACAACUAAGUAUAACUAACUUGGAAAUAUAGCUCAAUUUCAAUCAUGCAUGGAGAAUAAUUAACAUGACAAUACAAAACAAUGAAUAAAUAAAUAAUGCAAUGGUAACAUGCAUGGCAUAAUGUAAUAUGACUACUACUAGAUACACAAAACAAAAUGCAAAUCAAAGAAGUAAUAUGGUAUAAAACUAUUUUAAAACAAUGAUAAAUAAACGAUGCACACUAUAUGAAUUGAUGGAUUGAUAAAUAAAACAUUUGUAAAGGCAAGCUUAAUAUACAUAUGCGAUCAUUAAAAUAUAUAUUGUAGAAUGAAUCUUUUUUUUAAAAUACAUAAUAUAUAAGUUGAUAAAUUUGCGUAGAAACUAAGAAUAUGUAAUCAUUGAAAGAAAUAUUAUAGAAUAAAACUUUGAAUCAAAUUGCAUGUAAAUAUUUUAAAUACAAACUCCUUUAAAGGUUUACAAAGUACAUGAUAAUUUGAAUAAUAUAUGUACAAAAGAAUAAUAAAAAUACAUGACAAGACAUAAUACCCAAAAUAGAUUUAUAAAAAAUGUACAUGUAAAUUUAUAAAAAGAAUGAGAUUAAUAAUAAUAAUAUAUAUAUAUAAAUUUUAAGUUAGUCUAAAAAUUAUACAUGCCUUCAUAUCAAAACAUUUAAAUAAUAGGCUAUAUAAAACACAAAGUAAGUUAAUACAAAGGAACAUCUAAAAAUAAUAAUUUUAUAAUUACAAAAAAAUGAGGUUUCUAAAAUUGUUUCACAUAUAUGUAUAAUUAUUAAACUAUAUGUUAUGGAAUAAAUAUUUUAAUCGAAUGACAUACAAAAUAUUGAAGAAUAUUAGCUUAAAAUUAACAAUUUUCAUAAAUAUUUUAAAUUAUGUACCAAAUAUGAAGAGAUUACAAAUAUAUAUAUAUAUAACUUUAGAAGUAAUUAUUUGUAAAAACAUGUAAGACAUACAAGAUUAAAUUAAUUUUAUUAUACAUUUCACAAUAGACUUAAGAACGUGCCUAUAGAUGUAAGAAAACUAUAGGCAUAAAAUGUAUCGACUUAGAAAUAUAUAUAUCAAAUAUGUGUACUAAUAUAAGUAAGUAUAAAAAUAAUUUAAACUUUAUGUAAAACAUAUAUACAAAACAUGUUAGAAUAACAAAAAUAUAUAUACCAAAAUACAUGGAUAGGGUCAAAAAUCAUUAUAUGCAUGAAAAUACGUUAACUUUGUUAUAAAAUAUGUAUAUGUAUAAUAAUAUAAAGGAGAUAAACAAUUAAAGUAUACAAAGUAUGAUAAUAAUAUUACAAAAACGAAUCUACAACAAUGAAGAAACAAUUAUCAAAAUUGCUUAAAAUGUACAAAUGAAUAAAUAAAGAAAAUAAAAAGGGCUAUAAAAUAAAAAGACUCAAUUAAAAUUAAACUAAAACACACGGGGUAAUUUGAAAAUAAAUCAAUAAUUAUAAAAGGACCUAUAGGUAACGCGCGCAGCUGUGUAGGGACUUAAACUGGAAAUAUUCUAGACCCCCAAAACGCAACACACAAGUGCGGACCAAAAUACAAAUACACGCAAAUUAUGGGUAAAAUUUAAAAAUAAAAAAAAUACGAAUAUUAACUGAUUUGAAAACGGGGCGAAAAGGAAAGGAUUUAUAUUGCAAAAAAACCCUCACCGCAAACACACGCGUGUCAUCGGGGCAGCAAACCGGAUCGGGUCGGGCGUGACUAGACGAUGUCGUUUUUGAGCCAUUGAAACGGGCUUGAAACGGCGUCGUAUUCGACCCUUUAAAAAGACCGAAAACUAAAUCAUUCGACCAAACAAACCCUAGCCUCCCCUUUUCUCCAACCGAACUAAGCCAAACCCCUUUGGCCAUGGCCCCAUCGCAACCUACAACCGACCGAUUUACUGCCCCGUGAUUCCUCCUCCACCUUCGACUUCAACGAGGCAAGGAAGAAUUAAUGGCGGAUUCACGAGGUAAGGCUUCAUUUUUCUCUUUUCUUUUAUUUUUAGAUGCAAAGAAUGAAAAAGAAAAUCAGAGGGAGCAGAUCAAGAGAGAAAAAACGUAAUAAACCCCAGAGAUUCAAAACAGGAAAUCACCUUGCUCUGUUUUUUUUUGCUUUCUAUUGCUUCUGUAUGCCUCCAGAAGACUUUACAAUCGCAAAACGAAAGGCUUUAUAGCCGAGUGUUCCAAAAAAGAAUAAAAAUAAAUUACAAUUUUUUCUUUUUCUCUUUGUUUUCGUGUUGCUGCUGUUGUUUUUUUGGUUUCUUCGCAGGUACGGGGUGCGUUGGAAUCUUACAGAGGCUGUGCUGGCGCUUGGCGUGAGGCGUACGAAGGCGUGCGUGGUGGUCGUACGACGCGAGGGCUGGGGCUCGUCUGCGGUUGCGGCGCAAAAGUGAGGAGGAAACCCUAAGGUUUCUUUUCUCAAAACAUUGGGCCUAUCGGGCUUGUAAUUUGGGUCGGUUUUUGAUAUUGGGCUGUAGGGUAUUAGUUAUGUAGUUGGGUUAUGUAAUUAGACAUCCAAGGACUAUUAAUUAUUUGGGUUUUUGUUUAUUUAUUUAGGGUUUCAGAGGGGCCAGGCAAAUUGGCCUGUUUACAUAUAUCUAAUUUAAUUAUUAAUUAAAAUUAACAUGAUUAUAAGUAAUGCCAACAUCUGUCCAUC
rnacentral:lncRNA from 1 species